UACAGAGGUCUCAAGCGUGUUCGGAUUCAUUGGGCGUAAAGGGUGCGUAGGUGGCGCGGUAAGUCGGGUGUGAAAUUUCGGAGCUUAACUCCGAAACUGCAUUCGAUACUGCCGUGCUUGAGGACUGGAGAGGAGACUGGAAUUUACGGUGUAGCAGUGAAAUGCGUAGAUAUCGUAAGGAAGACCAGUGGCGAAGGCGGGUCUCUGGGACAGUUCCUGACACUGAGGCACGAAGGCCAGGGGAGCAAACGGG
rnacentral:rRNA from 1 species